AACUCGAAUGAUUCUACAAGGCACUACAAUACAACCAUACAUAUAUAGUACAGGGAACACGUCAAGGAUAACGAACGCAGAAAGGCACGAACCAAGGUCUCCAAGGAUUAGUUUACUACUAAGUGGAAACACGCAGCAGCAGUCUGCCGAAGGAAGGGGGAAGUCGGCACAGCUAAGAGAGCUGUACCGAAAGAGGCCAAGCAUCCCGGGGCAUAAUGCCCAGACGAGGAGACGGGAUCGCCGGCCGGAUCGGGGUCCAAACCAGGAAACACAGCUUCAGGAGUCUGAAAGGGCAAUCAUGGUCAACAAAGGCAACCUGCCAAGAGAAAAUUAACUGAUGAGCACAUACAAGGAGUCGGGUGGGAGAUCAGAGUACUUACGAAGUGGCAAGGACGAGUGGAAACGCCGGGCUGAGGGGUAAAAAAAACUAAACUCCGGCCGACACGUGCACGGGCAUAAACAAUUUGAAAAAAACACCAUAUAACAGGGAAGGGUGCGCCUCAAUAGGCGGUCGAUUGGCACUGGAUGAUGGUGCGAUCGAUUGGCACAAGAAAAGAAAAUGGAAAUAUCGGUGAUGAUAAACAUCGCGGCGAACAAGUGGCAACGCCGCACCUGCGAUAUCGAUAUCGUGAUCAGGCCCCCUGGGUAUCGAUAGCCGAUUAGUAUCGGUGCCAUGCGGAGGACGACCAGCGCUGUGGAAACGUAACAGGGUAAAACCUUCGAGGGAACGUCGAGGGAGCAACGAAGGAGCGCCGAGGUGAUCGGGACGAGAUGCGCCAUGACUCAAGGGCUAGGAUACACAAGGGAACGCCGCAGAGUGGGAGCGCUGAUUUUUCUUAAAUCUUUCCUGAAGGGGUGAAUGUGAGGAGUUGAAUAACACCACACAAAUCCCAGCAGCAGAUGGCCGGCUGCUCACCAGGUACGCGGCGAAGAGCGUUUGGAGAACGUGAGAGUUUGGAGAUCAAGAACGGAGAACGUGGGGGUUUGGAGAUCAAGGACGAAGAACGUGAGAGUUUGGAGAUCAAGGACGGAGAACGUGAGAGUUUGGAGAGUAAGAGAUUUUGGAGAGCAAGUGAGUUUGGAGAGGGUUUGGAGAGCAACAGAGUUUGGAGACCAAGGAUGGAGAAAGAGAGAGAGGAUACUUGGCGAGAAGAGCGAGGGUGCCGUGUGCAAAAGGAAGUAACGGGACGCCGCCGGAUUUUGGACGCGGCCGUGAACAUCAGGCUGGACAUCGGCGGGAAAAAGCGCAUGAAGGACAAAAGGGUCAAACUGGAGCUAUGGACUUUGGACUCGGUGUGGAGAGUUUCGGCGGGCCGUCCGCAAAAGGGGAAUAACGGUUCCCGGAGGCCCUAUAUAAGCCCGCAGUACGCUGGCAGGGGGAUCAGUCAGUCGAUUACGGUCAGUCGCUUACGGUCAGUCGAGGAGUUAAGACAAGCAGUCGAUCAAAUACCGAGUAAACAUAAACCCAACCAAGUAAACUACGAGGGAGCCACCACAAGGCGAGUCGUCGAAAGCAGCACCGUGGGAGCCUACAAGGAGCAAGAUUGACACGUCGAGACGUUCGGGAUCAGGAGUCAGACUGAAACACAGGUGGCUGAGGUCUGAAGGGGCACCACACGGCUAAGUCAAGGCGGUCUGCUUAUUUUUGCCAACGAGGUCCUGGCGUUACGCCUGGAGGAUCUACCAGACUGGGAGCAGUGAAGGCCGGCGACAAGAAAUCGUGAGCUCGGGGGUAAGCCUGUCAAACCCCAUUGUACCUCGCUCCAAGCACUACAUAGGCGUGUCCCGGCGGGAGCCCCGUGCGCCAAGUGGAGUUGAGCAAGUCCUGGCGCGACGAGCCCGAAGGGAGAGAAGUCCCGGGUAUGCCUACGAACCCAACACAGAAGUCCACCAGCCAGCUGGCACGGAGAAUCGAGCCCGCAGGAACGGCACAGACAGUACGCGAAAGGGUGAGGCUAGGGUGGAACGUUCGUUUAUACCAGGCGUAGAAGCGAAGUGAAAAGCGAGGCUGCUUCCUUUCAGAUCCUGGAAAACUCGUCAGUCUGUUCACUCUAGUCUAAGAACGGUGACGCUACCCUUAGCCCGCACGGCUGACCCCAUAACGAGUCUGAAUCGUGGCCGAGCAGUCACCGAGCCAAACGCGUCAGGAACAAGCAGCGGCGGAGACAGCGAGACAAGCAAAUUAUAAAGCCGACCGCAGUUAUACCCGCAAUAAACCCACUACGAACCCGUGAAUUCUGUGCUUUCCCAAUUAACUACUGGGCGGUUACGUUUAUACAAAUUUGGUGGGACGAACACACACAAUCUACUGAGCGAGCCGCACGAAUCUCGUAGCGAACAGAAAGCAAACAAAUCAGUUCGUUACAUCUGGUGCAGUGAAAGCAAAAUAAACAUAAUGGGAAAAAAGUGGAUUUACCGCCUUAAGAAGGAGGUCUUCGCCCAGGUCGCACAAAGACUUAAUGACGCCCUGGACGGCAGAUUAAAGGACAUGAGGAAGAUAUUGUCGGAGUAUUACUCCGAGACAGAGAAUGACCCACAACUUGCCGACAUCUGGGCUGAGCUGGAAGCUGUGUAUUACGCUAACGAACGCUGUAGGGGAUAACCUAGUAGCAAGCUUGAGCGUCGACAACUUGCAAAGGGAGGCUUACAGGAGAGAGUCGAGCCAGGACAGGAAGACAACAGUGCUGACCU